rnacentral:rRNA from 1 species
UACGUAGGUGGCAAGCGUUGUCCGGAAUUAUUGGGCGUAAAGCGCGCGCAGGCGGUCUUUUUAAGUCUGAUGUGAAAGCCCACGGCUCAACCGUGGAGGGUCAUUGGAAACUGGGGGGACUUGAGUACAGAAGAGAAGAGUGGAAUUCCACGUGUAGCGGUGAAAUGCGUAGAGAUGUGGAGGAACACCAGUGGCGAAGGCGACUCUUUGGUCUGUAACUGACGCUGAGGCGCGAAAGCGUGGGGAGCAAACAGG